GGAUCUGGUGGCAGAAAAGAAUACCAGUUGUUAGUCUUUUCAGGCUAUUAGGGAAUGAUUGAUUGUUGCUGACUAGCAGACUUAUCUCGAGAAGAUUGUUAGGUCCCAUUACGACAAUGUAGGUAUGUCAGACCGCUGGGAGCCAGACCUUUGUUGAUUGUUCAUACUUCUUUAGGAUACAGAAAAACUCAAGAGGGUUUACAAUAUCAGACAGAUGGGAAAUGAGCAGCAAGGAAUAGAAAUAUGGGAUUUCCACAACUUCAAGCAAAGCAUGCCAGAUCAGAAAAAUGCAGGAAACACUGAUGAUGUACUGGCUAUGAUACUUUCAGCUCAUGUUCAAGGACACAGCUUCAGUGUACCUCAAAGGACUACAGCAGGCUUUCUGACCUACUGAUAGCACAAAAGGCAGAGAAAACAAGUGAGAAUAAGAAGGAAACAUCGUGGAGAAACUUGUCCCUGGAAAAUGUACUGCAGUUUGGUUAGCUCAUUUGAGAGAUAUACAGAAUAUACAGCAAUAAUGAAAGAUAGCCCACUUCUGGUCACACUGAAGAAAAUUACAAGAAAGUACUAUUGUACCAACAAACCAGAUAAAUGACUCAAUAGCGCAGGAUCAGCAGGAGCAGAGGUCAGUGUUGAAGAUAUUGAGCAAGACUGAACCCAGUACAAGUCCCUGGGGAAAGGUGCUAGCUACAGGCCUCCAACCAGAUUCUGAACUGUGGAUCACAGCGCCCUGAGCUCAGCCAGUCAGACAUCUUGUUCCAUUUUGGCAGCUGACCACCUGGCCAGUAUAAGUAGGGCAGGAUUUGGUACCUGAGUAAAUGGCUGCACACACUGGAGAAUAUGACUUGCGUGCCACAGGACCAGAUGUGGUGAAACAUUACCAUUCCUGUCUUUCCAACUGCAAUAGCACCUGCAAAAAGCACUGCAUCUUUGAAAUCAUGGGAUAUAAAUCUUUUUUGUGAUAAGAAACUCUAUGGAUUACAGGUCACUGCAGUGAGUAAAAAGCC